CGGUGCGGUGAGGAGCGGUCCGGCUGCCGCCGUGCGCGGGCGGGGGCGGCGCGGGAGGCUCGGCCCCGCUCGCCCCGCGGGGGAGGCGCGCUCGGGCGCCCCCUGGCGGCGCGCGGCCGUGGCCGGGGCAGGGCCGCGGUGCCGGCGGAGCCGCGGUCCCGGGCCGCGCCUGCGGAAGGCGAGCGGCGGGAGCUCCGCCGGUGAAUCCGCGACAAACGCCCCGUGACUGCCCAGCAGCUACCGGUGGCUGCCGUGGGGCGGUCGUGUUCACGGCGGGAGAUGCCGGAGUGUGGGCUGGUGGUUUCGAGUUGAAUUUCUCUCGACUUCCAUAAUUUUCAAGGGUUUGAAUGAAGAGCUUGGUACUUGAAAAUCUCUUUUAGGAAACUGCAGUGCAUUGAAAAAAUGUAAACCUUCCUCAGACUGUUAUUUGUUUGCUCGGCAUGGCCAUUAUUAAAUAGAAACCAAAGAACCCCAGCAACGAUAAAACCCCUUGUAACCACGGGAAAGAUGCAGACCCGGGCACAGAGUCCAGAACACGUAAGAAGAUGCGAUUCCUCCGUUCUCUCGAAGUUUCCCUGUCCGUGCCCGGCUACGCGGAGCUUUAAUGAGCUGGAGGGGGCACCUCGCACUGGCGCAGAGCACAGCUCUGUGCCUUUAGCACAGCUCCAUGCAGGCGCAGGUGUCGUGCCGCUUUUCCCACAGAAACAACCAGCUGAACGUGGCACAUAAAUGGAACUGUGCUUUUAGAAAGCUCCUCUGGUAAUUUCUUCAUAAAGUAAUUAAAAAGGAUGGGCAUAUAUAAUUCCUGUCUUGAGCUGUUCUGCCCCUGCAAGCUCCACAACAGAGUUUUAACUGGUUUUGUUAAGAAUGUGUAGAAAAACCUGGCUGCCUGAAAUGCUCCCUUCCCCUACGAAGCUAAGUGUGGCAUCACAUUCACAUCUUCAGGGGACAUUAUUAAUAUUUUUUUUCUGACCAAAGGUAGAAAGAAAAGGAGAAACAUUUUAUUUUCCAUGUGAUCAGCUCUGUAAUAACAAGGAAAAAUAAUUGUUUUCCAGCAUUUAUAAUGCAGGUAUGUCCAAACAGAGUCAGAGAAGGAUCAAAAGAAUAGAGAACUCGUUUAUAAACAUGCUACAUUAGAUCUACCUAUGAAAGCAUUUGAGAGCAGUUUGUUUUGUUGUGAGGUUCUGGUUACUUUACUUUUGUGUUUGUUUUAUUUUAAGUGCUUUAUGGCAAGAUUAUUCAGAUAAGACUGACAUUCCUUUACACAAAAAUAGAACAGUGUGUUUAUUUCCAGCAUUAACUGUGUGACCCUUAGUUGUCCCCACAGGCUUGUAAUAUCCCUUAACUCUGCUUUCUUCAUAUUUAUGCAAAAUUUAUUCGCUAAAUAGUGAAACACCACUGUUGACACUAUUGUAUUAUUUUACAUUGUACAAUAUCUCUUACAGAUCUAAGCACCAGUAAUAAAUUCAGAAGUAUUUCUGAAUGACUUUAGGAUUAGUCAUGCAAUUUGAAGGCAACUGAAUCCAUUUAGAACUUGUGCUGCCUUAUGCUAAAUAAUGAUGAUGAUGAUGAUGAUGAUGAUGAUGAUGAUGAUGAUGAUAAUGCUCCUUUUUAGCACAGCAAUCAGUUCUGAGGCUGAGUGUCACAAAUGUAGUUUCUGGGGCUCUAAGAGCUGCUUAGACUGCAGGCACUCAAAAGUGAGAAGGCAGCACAUUCUGGUCCUGUAGCCACUUUUACUGAUCCACUCAAAACAGUUAAAAUUCAGUAAUUAGCACAGUUGGAGAUAGGUGAGUGUUCACACAAAUGAGGCUGAAGAGACAUAAGCAAGAACACAGGCAGUUCUCAUGUGUUCCCUUUGUACCUGCUUUUUGGUUAGAAAACACAUGCCACCUAACCUGGUUGUUUUGAGUUAAUUUUAAAAAGUAAAAAAGUGUUUCAAAUGGCUAUCAAUGCUAAAACCUGUAGCAAGGCAGGACAGAAUGAAAAGUAGGAACUCUCAAGAUCCUUUUAUCCCCAAAGUGUUAACCUGUAGCAGUCCCCCCCUCCCCCUCCCCUUUUCCUUUUUUUUUUUUUUUUUUUUUUUUUCUCUCUAUAGAGACACAUGCAUACAGGAUAUUCCAAAUAAAUUCAAAGAGAUAAACAAAAAUAACAUUAUUUAUGUUUCUACGAAUUUUCAGUGUUUCCCUAAACAAGCUGGACCUGUUCUGAUCACUAGAAGCUCAUGUCACAUCUUGCUUUCCUUGGACUUUCGAAAUGUUUGAAGUGCACACUCAUCUGCACCACAUAAGAGUUAUAGGUAUUAACCACACCAAAUCAACAUAAAAGGGAGACUAAUGAGCCAAUCUACCAUGCUGGUGAAAGCAGAGACUUUGUGUGUGAGAGCCCAAAGGAUGGGAUGCUGCAGAGGAAGCUGUGGAUGCAGUGUUCCAUCCCAUGGCACCUCUGGCUAUCACCAGCAGCAGAGCUGCAGUACAGGGCUGGCACAGCUGCAGGAAGCUGAAGGUGCUCUCCAGAACAUGCUGGAUGUUGUGUGCUGAGCAGCCUUGCUUGCAAGCAGGAGCAUCCAGAGCAGGUGUCCACAGCCUGACUGUAGACACUCAUCUAGUCAGACAGCAAAUCAGUGCCUUGCCCUAAGAGAGGUUCUUGUUUCUGCUUGGGAACUGAUGUGGGGACACUGCCAUUCCUCUCCCACAAUGGAUUUUGACUCCCACACUUGCCUGCUCCAUCAAGGCCCAUCUUGACCUUCUUUAACCUAAACUUAUCCACACAAGGACUGAAAAGGUAAGAGAAAGCAUACAGAUGAACCAGAGAAGCAUAAACUGUAAUUGUCUGAAGGAACAGAACUUCAACAAAAGCAUCCAAAAACCAAAAUGCCCAGCAUGUACGUAAGUGAUUCACUGUUUUAAAGGGCCCUUUGCAUGGAUUCUAACAAGGAUAUUUACAUUUGGGUUUGUACUGGCUGCUUACCUUUAACAGUUCAGACUUCAACAAAGCAAAUACGUAUUUGUUAGCCGUCAGCCUUCAAAUAUAACUCAUUUGGGCUAAUACAAAGCACACUAGAAGUAGUCCUUCCAUUAUUUACUUAGAUAACUUAUUUGGAGCAGACUGUGAACCUCAGUGUACUUCGAAGUGGAAAUAAUUUCUUUUACCAUUUACCCAGCAGUUGACCCCUUUUUGACCCACCUCUUUUAUACGAAAGUGAAUUUAGAGCAAAAGGACACCAUCAUGUAUCUUCUAUCUCAAAGGGUUUUGAGACAUGAGAAGGAAAGGCCAGUUUUCCACAUCAACUCUUCAACAUCCUGCUAACUGCACCAUGUUGUCAGCUAGGAUAGUAGUUGUCUCCCAGAAGAUAGUGACCUUUCCUUGGCAAUUAAAAUUGAACAACUCUGCAAUAUGUAAAAACCCCUAGAGUAUGAAUCAAAAUGUCAUUUAAUUGCAUAUCUAGCUCACAUACUUUCUUACAGUUAGCAUUAUCAAUUUGCUCUGGUUACUUACAGCAUGCAUUUAAUCCCAUAGAGUGCUCUGAUUUUAUUGACUAGGCCUCAAUUUGCAAACUGCAAUAUAUACGUACACACAUAGGCAGCACUUGGAGCAGAACAACCUGUAAAUAGGUUUCUAGACAUUUUUCUGUGAAAGCAAAUCAAGCAAACAUUAAUGUCCUGCAUGUUUUAAGUCUGCCGUCUAAAUAACCACAUUCUUCUAGGGGACGAAAAGUGAAUUUCCAUACAGGCAGAAUCUCUCCCAUUAUGCUCAUCACGGAAGGAAGGGGAGAAGGGUUCACUUGGCUGAGGCUCUCAGAUGAGCUGCCUAAAUGCCACAAACCACUGCUAGCUACCCUCUCUAAUCCAAAAAUAAGUGAAGUAAAUCAGAAUCCAGGCCUCUAACAACUAGGCAGUAUGAAGGAAAAAGGAUACAGGAAUGAGGGUUCUUAUAUCAUACCAUCAUCAGCUAAAUGUCUCUAGAGCACAGCAGAAGUUUUAAUCCAGACUAAUGCUUAAAGACAGAUCUCACAUCAGCUGGGCUUCUAAUUUAUUUUUUUUCUGUGAGACAGAACGUCAAUUUUAUGAGAGUGGGUUAGAAAAAAAGAUGCAUAUUCUAACAGAUUCAAACUAUGAUUCAGUGCAAAGUCUGGUGUGAUACUCUAGCAGAAGCCAAAGACAGAUACCAGAAUUCAAAAGAAAGAGCAAGAAAAACAAAUUUCCCCUUUCCAAGGUGUCAGUGGAAGUCUAAAGACAUUUAUCUUAAAUGUGUAAUACCAGCUAAAACAAAUACCUGUCAAGCCUGAAUGUUUUUGAAAAGUAAAGUUCUAUACUUGACAAGCAGAUUCUCUUAAUUUACCUAUAUUUUUCAGCAGUAAUACCACUGUCUUUAAUGUCAAGCUCACAGUGCAAGACAGAAUACUUGUGUUCAAAGUAAAGCGAGUCCUAGGACAAAUUAAAGAAUCUUUUCAAAUCAUUGUUAUCUGCAAAGGAUUUUUUUUUUCAGAAGAAGAAAUCUAACAAAAAUACUCUCUUAAUACUAAGAUACUCUGCUGUCAGUCUGCAAUAAGAAAUGAUCAUGGUAAUUCCAGAAGUUAUGAAAUUAGCUUUUGGUGUGGGCUUUUACUCCGCCAGGAUGCAUUCACCUUGAAAGUCGACAUUUCUAAACCUGUGGUUCCUUUUCAUCAUCUCAGAGAAGCAGCAACCAAGUCCAAGUAAACCCAACUUCAAAUAAUAUAUGAUUCAAGGAAAAGAUUUUAUUUUAGGGCUAAGAAGUUGAUAAUAAAUAAAGGAAUAUAAUAAUGUAAUAACAGAUGUUCUCAUGCACUUAACACAUACAGUAAUGCUGGCUUACACUGCUGUUUGGACAAAUUAAGAAGAGGUAUUUGGCAAUAUUGUAAGUUUUGAAUAGUUUAAAGAUUAUAGAGCAAGAAAUUCUGCUGUUUUUACAUUUCUUUUAUACAAAUUCAAAUAAAUAUUAAUAUAUCUAUUUUUCCUCAGAUUUUCUGUUCACUUUUAACAUGCCCAAUAACUAAGCCACAGUAAUAUACAACUGCCAAGAAAGAGUAUUUAAGAAUUAUACUUAUUCCUAAAAAUGUAUCUUAUUUAUGUCACAUUGUGCAAGCUCUUUAGGUAAAAUUCAUUUUAGGAAAAACUGCAGAAAAUUUAAAUUCAUUAAAACAUAUCCAGUGCAAAGGCCAGUCUAGUCCACACAUUAUGGUACUGUAAUGUAAGCUAGUAUAAUUUAAAUAAUAAAACAUGCCUAUAUGAUUCUGAGAAAGCUGAAUAUGUUUCAUGUUUUAAAGAUCUGACAUCUAAUAUGCAGAUUCUGCAAUAUCAGAAUUUUUCAAAUCUUCAUGAGAUGGCAAAAUAAUGGUAAGACUUUAUAAGUAGGCUUUUUUUUAGGAUAACUCACAUUAACAGUACUACAGUGGCCAAAAAAGACAAACUAUUAUAAUAGAAAUCAAUCUGAUUAAAAAAUUAAAUAUUCCAAUUAACACUGAAAAAGUGUUUGUAAUCAUUAUUUACAAUUCCUCAAUGAUACCAGUGUAUAACUCCACACAAAGUGUACCACUCCCCAGGCAAUCUCCAACCCGCAUGCCCGCCGGAGGAGCCGAGGGCUGGACGCUGUUCAUGGCCAAGGCGUCAGUUCAGGGAAGGAGAGCGGUCUGUGCUCCAGAGCAGUUCUAUGUA